UUUCUUAGCAUAGCACCUUCACACAUUAGGUAUCAUACGAUGAGAAUUGAUUGUGGAGUAGGACAAACUUUGAUUCAGAUCUGGGCUCUGUUACUUACUGACCAUGUGAUUUUAUGUACAAGUUAUUUCUCUUCUUUGAACUUCAGUUGAACUUCUUCUCUGUUAUCUAUAAAAUAUGGGAUAUUACUUCUUACAUCACAAGGUGGCUGUAAGGAUAAAAUGAAAUAAUGUGUUCAAAAGUAUCUAGAGCACAAUACAUAUUAUGGAUAGGAAAGGGAGACACACUGCACCCAACAUCCAGUAACUUACAGUCAGGAGGAAGGAACAAAGUUAUUUGUAAAUAAUUCUUACACGAUGCACAGCUGGCCAACCGGAAGAUGGCCCACCAGAAAUUAAAUUUGGGUUCUUCUCUCACUUGACAGAAGUUGCCAGCUGCUUCUGGUGUGUGCGUCAGUGGACAAAUGCACGGAAACAGACCUCCCGGGAAGAACUGAUGGAGGUGCUAGUGGAGGAGUAGAAGGAAUUAUACCAGGAUUGAUUAGAUGUGGAGAGGACCCAAUGAUGGAUACAUUCAAGGACCAGCAGUGCUCUUCAGAGCUGCGUUGCUCAACUUUACAAAGUGAAGACAUUUAUGUGGCUUAUGCCUCAAGGCACUGCUCAUCUGGCCAGUCAAGUGAAAAAUGAAUGGUGAGGAUCUUUCCCUGGCUGCAAGCCCGUAUGUUGAUGAU
rnacentral:lncRNA from 1 species